rnacentral:miRNA from 1 species
UGUACAUCGAUCAUCAUC